rnacentral:rRNA from 1 species
GAUGAACGCNGGCGGCGUGCUUAACACAUGCAAGUCGAACGAGAAGUGAAGACGGAAACCUUCGGGCGGAAGACUUUAUUUCGAGUGGCGGACGGGUGAGUAACGCGUGGGUAACCUGCCUCAUACAGGGGGAUAACAGUUGGAAACGACUGUUAAUACCGCAUAAGACCACAGCACCGCAUGGUGCGGGGGUAAAAACUCCGGUGGUAUGAGAUGGACCCGCGUUCGAUUAGCCAGCUGGCGGGGUAACGGCCCACCAAAGCGACGAUCGAUAGCCGAUCUGAGAGGAUGACCGGCCACAUUGGGACUGAGACACGGCCCAAACUCCUACGGGAGGCAGCAGUGGGGAAUAUUGCACAAUGGGGGGAACCCUGAUGCAGCGACGCCGCGUGAGUGAAGAAGUAUUUCGGUAUGUAAAGCUCUAUCAGCAGGGAAGAAAANGACGNUAC